UCACAAUUUUUAAGCCGUCAUAUAAACAUUUGACAACGUCUUUGGAUAUUUGUCGAUUGGAGAACUACACAAUGAUUGGCCUAACACUAUUUGUAAUGGGGGUCUUUGAGAUCUACAGAUUGCUGAGUAAUUUAAGAGAACUGAGGGUAAUGAAGUAUAAGACUGUGAGAUUCCCCCGCAGAAAUUAAUGUGUCGUCACGAAAAUGAUGGGCUUGCGACAUAUACCAGUUUUUGGGGGGUUUUUCAGACCUACACAGGUUUGAAUCUCUCUCGAUCGUGAUGGCAUAAACAACAAGAAUAAAAUAAAUGUACAUGGAAAGCGUUCUGAAUUAAAA